UACAGAGGUCUCAAGCGUUGUUCGGAUUCAUUGGGCGUAAAGGGUGCGUAGGCGGCGCGGUAAGUCGGGUGUGAAAUCUUGGAGCUUAACUCCGAAACUGCAUUCGAUACUGCCGUGCUUGAGGACUGGAGAGGAGACUGGAAUUUACGGUGUAGCGGUGAAAUGCGUAGAUAUCGUAAGGAAGACCAGUGGUGAAGGCGGGUCUCUGGACAGUUCCUGACGCUGAAGCACGAAGGCCAGGGGAGCAAACGGG
rnacentral:rRNA from 1 species